rnacentral:snoRNA from 1 species
GUGGAGGUCUGUCCCGAUGGGGCUUUUCUGUAGACUGCAUCAUUGGAAACACUCUUAGAUGAACUUGUGGUUUCCUUUAGUCACAGAACUAAGUGUUAGAUCUGUGGGAAAGAACUACAAGACAGAG